CCCGUGCCCGGAUCGCUCCCGUGUCGGGAUCGUUCCUGAGGGUGGGAUCGUUCCCGUGCCCGGACCGCUCCCGUGCCCGGACCGCUCCCGUGGCCGAGGCUCGCCGCCCUGCUCCCUGUCCCGGUGGCCGCGGCCCGGGUGCGCUCAGGCCCAGCCCGGCCGCUCCCGCCGUGUCCCUCAUCCCGGCCUCUCCCGGCCCCUGCCCCGGUGGCGUUUGUGUCCCACAUCGCCGCGGUUCCCGUAGUGCCGCUCCCGGCCUGGCCCCCGGUGCCUGGCCCUGGGUGUCCCGGUCGGGCCUUGGGCAGCUGCGCGGGUCGCUGGGAAUGGCUGUGUCGCUGCAGCAUCCUCCGCCUGCCCGGCUCUGUUCUGCCGGGACCGUCGGGCUCAGAGCUCCUGAGUCAUCACCUGCUAACACAGCCGGACGCAAGCAGGUGAAUAUGAGCUUUAGACAGUUUUACACAAACGUGUGGCUGGUGGUGACACAUUAGUGAGCAAAUACUAGCCAGAAGCUACAGCAGUGGAUUGGAACUGCAAGGCUGAACUAGAAUGAGAAAUGCAAAUCUGUGUUCAGACAAAGUUAUUGCUCAGCUGCAGCAGCACCAAGACUUUUCAUGUUAUUGUGGAAGAGUUGUGACAUUUCCCCCCAGGGCUUUUGGCAGCCUGGCAGAAGAUCCAGUGUGUAACUGAUUUCUCUGCCCAAGGAAGCUCUGAGCUUUGGGGGCAUACACAGCAGAGAAGCCUGGCUGGUCAGUGCUGCACUGCCACGCUCAGCGGGCUGUGUGACAGCUGAUUCCAGGGCAGCUCUGGACAGGCCCUUGCAGGAGACUGGGAAUCAUCGAUGCUCUUCUGAGGCAGUUGGGAAUUUCCAGAGGAGGCUGGUGAGAGAGGAAAAGGCCCCAGGGUGUGGCAGGAGCAGCCCAAGCAGCAGCCAGGUCUUGGGAAGGAUCUCUGCUGACCUUCGUGGGGCCUCGCUGGGAAUUCUGUGUUCCUGUGACACCCACGGGGGUUUGGCACCCACCCCGGGUCUGCGGGGGAGUUGUUUGGGAGUGAUGUGUGCUCUCGGAUAGCCCGGGGGAUGUGUGGGAGCACACAGUGGCAGGAGCCGGGCUGGCUGCUGCCUCUGCCCGUGCAGCCCGGCAGCUCAGAAGGCACAGCCAGCCGGGCUGCUGCAGGGCUCUGAGGAGCCUGCUCUGUGUCACUGGACCUGUCUUGAUGGGGACGAGUGGCUCAGGAUUUCCCAGUGGAACAACUUCAGCAGCAAAGUCGGAGGGAAGCAGUAGGCCAGGGAGCAGCCGAGCUCGAGUGAGUUACAAACCACAGCAGUUCCUGGGGUACCCAGGGGUGGCUGCAGCAGUGAGGAAAGCACUUCAAGCCUCCUUCCAGCCUGAAAGCCUGAGCUCCUGUCGAUCUGGCAGUCAGCCCCAGUCAGCCUCCUCCCUUGCAGUACCCGGGGCUCAUCCUGCUGUUGCCAGAGCUCACCUGGCUCGGCUGCAGCUGAGGCUGCACAGAGCUGCAGGCACGGGGAGCUCUGCUCUGCUCACCAGGCUGGCUAAGGCAAACCUGCCUGUUGCUCAUUGACACGUGCCUGCAGCAGGCAGUUGGUUUGUGAGAGCGUAAAUGAGUAACCUGGAGAAACCACAGUCAGAGCAGGAUUGUCCUUCCUAAAUCACUGAUUUGUCCAAGUAUUUUUCUGUGAAAAGUUCCUGAUUUGCCUCUAUCUUUUUGUUCAGAGCAGUUGGGAAUUAAUACUAAAUACCAACUUAAAAACUUCAAAUUGUGUCAUACAUGAAGUGGAAAAAUCCAUGGGGGUUGAGACUUUGCCCUUCUGAUGUCCCUGAUCUGAGGAGCUCAGGCGUUUGUCCGUUGAGAAUUCCCAACCGACAGCCACCCUUGGCUGUUGGCGUUGGGCAAUCCCAGCGUUUACAGAGCCUGGUGGUCAAACACCCAGGGACUGUCAAGGUCACAGCCACAGCCUGUGUCACACACACACGGGGACCAGGACUGCUGAGACCUCUUGUGGUUUCCCUCCCCCGUGUCCUCACAGCCCGAGGAGGAGGAGGAGGGUGGCUGAGCAGCUCUUCAGCAUUUGCACCAUGUCUUGCUGCACAGACAGCUUUCCUGGGCAGACCUUGCUCUCCCAGUACCUAACUGGGGGUGGAAGCAGCAGAACAGAUAUUUCCAGUUUGUCUGAAGGACAGUGUGCUAUGAGAGAAAAAAAAAAUACUAUUUAAUAGUUCAGGGGGAUUUUCUUGAGCAUAUAGUUACUCCUGGCUAUUUAUAGCACUGUUAUUUAAAUAUCCCAAAGAUCCCGUCACCAGAGGUUUUUUCAUGAUUCCUUUGAAGAACAAACCCGUACUUAUUUGAACAAGUCACAUCAUGAGAGUUGUUUUUGUACCCUUCCCACCCACACAAGCCUAGCAGUGAUUUUCAUUUGGAGCUGGUUCACCAGAGGAGCAGGCAGCCGAGGAGCCCCUGCGAGGGCACAGGGAUUCAGCUGAAAGCUGCAACCCGUGUGGUGGGACAGGCAUUCCCUGCAGGAGGCUGCCUUUGGCCUCAGUCAGGGACACGGGUGGCUCUCCAUCACCGAGAGCUCGGUUCAGUGUCUGUCCCGUCCUUGCAGGGGCCCAAGGGAGGACAGACACACAAACCACGUUUGGAAAUGGUGUAAGUGACCAAGCAGAAUCCAGGCCUGCUUAGUCCCUACCUAAGGGAACAGCCAUCUCACCUGGGACAGCUCUGAGCCAUCCUGGGUUCAUGAAAAACUUUCUUUUCCUCCUUGUGCAGUUUUUAGCUCCAGAACAGAAUUCAUUCCCCAAGUUCAAGUAAGUUCUGUGGUUUCACUUUAUUAUUUUCCUUUGUAAAAUAUUUCAGCAGCAUCAGUUGGGCAGGGAUUUUGAAGCUAUUUCCUUAGACAGAAUUGCCUACUCCAACAGUGCAAUUUUCCCCUAAAUACGUUUUUUCCAACUGCAUACAAAACUAAAAUAAAGCUCUCCUUUCAUUCCUUCCCUGUGGCUACAGGGUAUUUGUGAUCUCAAGUAACAGGGAGGCUCCACUGUCCAGAAGAGGAACUUCAGGAAUGUUUUUGACAGCAGUGAUUGAGCAGGUGCUGCUCAGGAGCUGGCUCCUGCCUGGAUCCCACUCCAGGUCCAACCUGAAUUAAGGAACAUUUCCUCUGAAGUACAGAAAAUGAAAUUUAACAGUUCACACACUGCUGCUUUCCACUCCACAGGAACCACCUGUCCAGGUGUCUGCAGGUCUGUCUGCUCACCAUGCAGGAACAAUAAGAUGUCUCAGAAGAAGUCAAUGCAGUCACACUUUAAUGUGUCUUUACAUCCUUUUACGAUUCACAAAGUCAGAAUAUAAGUACUUAUACACUUUUAAUGGGGAAGUAAUGUAUCCCCCUGAAAGAAAAAUAGAUGUGAUUAAUCAUUUGUCAGAGAAGUUGCCUGACAGCUGAAACCUCAAGCUUCUAGGCAAAAAAAGCUCAAAUAGACAAAUUAUACUGAAUUGUUCUUUAAAGACCAAGCAGCUGUUUUAUUACAAUAUUAAAUUUACAUUUUAAAAAGAAAUAUUCUGAUUUAUUAUUCAGUUAUGAUAAUCUUAUUGAAGUGACAUGAAAUUCAUGACAAUGGGCUUUCUUCUUCCUCAGUCACCGCAGGCAAUCUCAGAUCUGUGCAGGAUCCCACACCCAGAGCAGCACCAGUCUGGGAAGACAAACCCCAGACACUCGAUUUUAACUGGAAUCUUAAUUUUCUCCAGAAAAAGUGGGGUGUUGGGCUCUGUAACUGGGCUGGAUUCCUCGGUUCAGCCCCAAAGAACCCACCCAAACUGGUUCCAACAGAGAGAGGACAUCAGUGUCCACCACCUUCACCCUGCAGCCCCUGGAAUGACCUUCGAACAACUGGGAGCAGGUUGAAUUUACAUUUUACUUCAAAAAAAAGGGGGAAGUACAUACAUGAGGGGAGAAUGGGGUGAACAAGAAUUAUCUGAAACCAGGUUUCCACCACUGUGACCCACAGCUCCCAGGGCUGGGCCAGCAGCUCUCCAGGCUCACACCCUGGCUUGGACAGCACGACCAGGACUGGGACCAUGGAAACCCCUGGGAAGCCGAGGCCGGAUGGAAGCAGUGAGGUCACACACAGGGUGAGUGUGUCGGACACAGCUCCUGGUUUAAAUGAUGGAAUGCACCAGCAGGAGGGAGGAGGAGGAGUUAACAGUUACUAACACUAGAAUAAUCAAAUUUGUAUGUUAUACAUAUACAGCAACUAACUGCUUUACAAAAAAAGCAAAAUAAUACAAUAUAUUGUCACAUGUAUUUACAGUGUAGUAAAUAUACUUUUCUGUCAAAUUUUACACAAAACCUAUUUACAGGUGAAUAUACUGCAUAAAAAAAAAGGUGGGACCAACACUCUGAGUGACUGUCUGUGGUUUGUUGCAUAACAAUAGGACGUGCUUUGUGACUUCGGAAAAAAAUUAACCUUAGAAUGAAACAGAAAAAGCCCUAAAACCUACAAACCCGGGUCAGAGGCAGCCCCAGCACAUGCUGGGGGCUCAGCCCACGAGACUCAGUGAAAUGCUCCCUGUCCUGGGAAACCUCAUGCACGGUAAAGCAGAAACGUCGGCAUCAUUACAGGUAGGUUAUGCACUAUUCAAAUACUACUGAGUUAUCUUUAAGUCAGGGAAAAUACAAACACAAACAGAAUGUUAAUUGUCUUUACAGUACUGAGCUGUGGUCAGUGUGGGGCAGGGAAGGGGCUCUGAGCCAGGGGGUCACACACGCUCCCGGGAGGGCGUUACAUGGUCCACGUGUUCCAAUCGGGUUUUUCUGAGUUUAAAGUUUUCCUGUCAGAGCACAGGAACUCUGGGGCUGCAGCUCCAGCCCUGCAGCAGAGCCUGCAGCAGCAGAGCCUGCAGCAGCAGAGCCUGCAGCAGCAGCCACUGCCAGUGGCCCAUGGGUUGCCCGGAGUGCAGUGGCACUGGGCACCCUGGGAUGGGGCUCCUGCGUGUCAGGCCAGGGCUCACACCCACACUGUCACCAGCAACAACCUGCUGGUCACCAGAGAGCAGAGCAGCAGGUGGAGAAAGGAUGGAGCAGCCCGGGAUGGGAGCAGAGCUCCCAGGGAUGGAAGGGGAUGGAGAGUGCUCAAACAGCGACAGAACAAAGGAAGGAGGAUGUGAGAAAGAAAAGAGGCAAAUCCCAGCAGAGGCUGCUGGAGGGAGCGGGACAGCGAUGUAGUGACAGUAAGGCACUCAACAACUAAUUACUGAUGGGAGUUUAAUCAUUACACAGAGGCCAUGGUUCCCUGGGAGCCAAGCACAAACUUCCCAAGCACCAGUACUAGGAGACAAGGUUCCUGUCUAUCAGGGCACACACAAUCCCAAAUUAAACCUUGGCCAUCAGCAGUCCUUACACCCCAAUCCACCUGUUACCUGACACAGGUGUCUGAUACCUCUGCUCUGCCAGAGUCCAGGCCCUCUCACUGAACCUCUCACACAGGGAAAACUCCAACCAAAUCCUUCCAGGAAAGAGGAAAUUCACUUUUGUUCACUGACUUUAUGAAGAGACCAUUUUGUUCAGCUGGGACCGAGAGCCUGGAGCAGUUCCCACAGGGAAGGUGACUUUCAUGCCUGUCCCCUCUGCUCGCACAUGUCUGUGCUGCAGGGAGCACAGCAGUUCUGAUGGAGGGACACUUCUGACAUGGGCCAUGCAGAACAGCGAAGGGCUUGCUCUCUGCCCAAACAAAUCAAUCAGGCAGUUCCUCUGGAAUUACUGUUCCUGUUUGCAGAUCUGCUCACGUGAGAAACAACUGAAAACAGCACACCACCUUUACAAGAGAUUGUUUUCCUCCUACAUACAAAUCCUCAGGCUUCUACAAUUCCUUGUCCUCAGCAAAACGGGAAGGGCUGGAACCAGCUCGACUGGGCACAACCCAGUGCAAACCCCAGUCACACCAGGGGUGGCUCCUCACAAUCUGAGUUGUGAGAUGACAAUGGUUUCCAACCUGGGGACCCCAAACCCAAGGCUUGAGCCCCUGCUCUGUCCCUGAGCCCAGCUCAGCCUCACGGCCCUGCUGAGACCCCACUCUGUGUCACCAGUUCCUGCCCUGGCGCCUGCACCACCCCAGUGAGGGGAUUUGGUUAAUUGCACCAGUUCAUCUUUCUAGCCUGUUUAUUCCAUGACUGCUAAUUCUAGGUUUUCCUCUUGUUUUGGCAAACUACUUGCAUAUGAAGUUUGUGUUCAUAGUUUUUCCAGGACUGUAAACAAAUUAAAGAAAUUGUUAUUUUAUGAAUCAAUACAAUAAAGGUAUUUUUAUUUACAUAAAUGUUACAUUGUUACUGUGUGGAUACAUGGGAAUUAUGUGCUAUAGCAAUAAAUUGGAACCCUUAAUUGUACCAUUCUCUAAUAAUUUAGCUGUGGAGUUUGAUUUACUGAAAGCCACUAACGAUUGCACUGGAGGACUGGCUUUUACCUAAUGGUUAUACUUUUUUUCUCCUUUAAAGCCACUGAAGGAUUGUUAUUUCCUACCACAGCAGAGGGAUCUGAAACUGGGAAGCGGAUCUGUUUCUGAGCAGGAGCUGUGUGAGCCCCAGGGACACAGCCCCUGCCUGAACUCAGCUCCACUCACAGCCCGCAGUGCCCGCGGCACCGGGGCCGCGCCCAGCGGCUCCUCCCUCGCCACCAGCGGCUCCUGACUGCCCCAGCCCCAGGUCUGUGCAAGCCCCGAACCCACCCCGGGACAGCGACGGCAGCCCCAGGUCUGUGCAAGCCCCGCCGGAGCCCCGAACCCGCCCCGGGAGGGACCGCGCCACCCACCCCUCCCUGGACUGGACAGUGUCAGUUAAUUUAAAUUCAUGUACCUUGAGCAGACGUGGCUGUUUCUGUCCCUGCCCGGGCAGCACAGGGGCAAGCUUUGCCACACACUAUCCCCCGGAGCCGGGAAUGAAUCCAUCCCAUUUUCCCUCCAUUCCCCACCGGAUACUCUGCCAGGAGCUCUUGAAGGUGCACAUUGUUGGGAAGGGCAGAACUAAAGCACGUGCUACAAUGACAGCUCGAGGCUCAGUUCCCAGGGAUUUUCCCCUGUACAACUUCCUCAGGGAAGAUGAAGUACAGCAAAAAAAAAAAAAAAAAAGUUUUGGGAAAAAAAAGCCAGUUUGUCCAGUCUGGUCCAUGUACAGUCCAAGUGUGUGAAGCUUGGUCUGGGGAAUGAGGGACUCCUGCAGCCUCCUUUUCCUCUCCCCUUUAUUGCUAAUUACCUGAAAUUUAACCUAAUCCACCACUUCUGUUAAGCUCCUUGUACUGCAGCUAUCAUGAACUUCUU